UUGUAAUUAAUAUUUAAACCAAGGAGCCGAAGCUAGUAUAUAUCGAUAUAUGACAACAUUUAGAUAUUAAAUAGUUUGCGUUUGUAUUUUGAUUGAAGUGGACCUGUGCGUGAUUUAAUUAAAAUGAAAGUACAUCUGUUACUGGCUCUCCUGAUUGGGGCCUGUUACGCUGACAAUGGCGUGUGCAACAUGUCAAACGGUUCAAUAGGGACAUGUGUAAAACCAGGACAAUGUAAGGCACCGGACCUUGGUAACUUGAAUGUUUACGGGACAAUACAAAUGGUGUGCCCAACGGGGGAAGAAUGCUGUGAUUUUACAGAUGUAAUCCAAUCUUCUAAUUCACCCAUUACCAUUAAUAACUAUGUAAGAACAUCAAAUACUAAUGUGAAUAUGACUUUUAAUAAUUAUAAUAUUAACAAUUUUCUACCUCCCUGGUAUACCUAAAACCUGCGGCUGUAAUGUUAUUCCGAUUAAAGAUAUACACAACUUGAUAGAAUAUAUAGCCACUUAUGCUUUCGAGUCAAGACUGGCCGAGGAUCCUUCCAUUCACCUUAUAGGACUGGAAAAGCACCGCCUUACCUCCACAUUAUCCUUAUUUAAAAAGCUGUUUAGCUUCUUCAGUCAUUUGUCACUUUUCAUAGCAAAAUAUUUUAAGUUAAAUUUUCUAAUUGUUUUCAAAUAUGUAGUUUAAGAAAUUUGCUAAUGAGCUUAUUAUGUGUUCAAAUUUUGUAAAAUAAAGUUAUCAAAAUGC